GCUCCGAUAGCCUAGUGGUUAGAGCGUCCGCCUCGGAUGUGGGAGGUCGUGGGUUCCAUCCCUGGUUGAGUCA